rnacentral:rRNA from 1 species
UACGUAGGGUACAAGCAUUAAUCGGAAUGAUUGGGCGUAAAGGGCGCGUAGGCGGUCUUGUAAGUCAGAUGUGAAAUUCCAAAGCUCAACUUUGGAGCUGCAUUUGAAACUACGAGACUAAAGAGGUAAGACGGAGAAAGCGGAACUCCACGUGUAGCGGUGAAAUGCGUAGAUAUGUGGAAGAACACCUGUGGCGAAAGCGGCUUUCUAGUUUUAACCUGACGCUGAGGCGCGAGAGCAAGGGGAGCAAACAGG